rnacentral:rRNA from 1 species
GACGAACGCUGGCGGCGUGCUUAACACAUGCAAGUCGAACGGAAAGGCCUCUUUCGGGGGGUACUCGAGUGGCGAACGGGUGAGUAACACGUGAGUAACCUGCCCUUGACUUUGGGAUAACUUCAGGAAAAUGGGGCUAAUACCGGAUAGGAGCUCCUGCUGCAUGGUUGGGGUUGGAAAGUUUCGGCGGUUGGGGAUGGACUCGCGGCUUAUCAGCGUGUUGGUGGGGUAGUGGCUUACCAAGGCUUUGACGGGUAGCCGGCCUGGGAGGGUGACCGGCCACCAUGGGACUGAGAGACGGCCCAGACUCCUACGGGAGGCAACAGUGGGGAAUAUUGCACAAUGGGUGGAAGCCUGAGGCAGAAAUGCCGGGAGCGGGAUGACGGCCUUCGGGUUGUAAACCGCUUUCGCUCAUGACGAAGCUUUGUGUGACGGUAGUGGGUAAAGAAGCACCGGCUAACUACGUG